UCCGAGUUGACCCCGGCAGUCUCCCAUGAGUCCCCACCAUUACGUGCUGGCAACAUGGAACGAGGGUUGCGCUCGUUGCGGGACUUAACCCAACAUCUCACGACACGAGCUGACGACAGCCAUGCACCACCUGUGGCGGUGCCCCGAAGGGAGGGUGUGUUUCCACACCGGUCACCAACAUGUCAAACCCAGGUAAGGUUCUUCGCGUUGCGUCGAAUUAAACCACAUGCUCCGCUGCUUGUGCGGGUCCCCGUCAAUUCCUUUGAGUUUUAGCCUUGCGGCCGUACUCCCCAGGCGGGGCGCUUAAUGCGUUAGCUACGGCACGGAUCCCGUGGAAGGAAACCCACACCUAGCGCCCACCGUUUACGGCGUGGACUAC
rnacentral:misc_RNA from 1 species